GCGCCCGUAGCUCAGCUGGAUAGAGCGCUGCCCUCCGGAGGCAGAGGUCAAUCGCAAAAUGAGUGUUUGAGGCA
rnacentral:tRNA from 1 species